UGGCUCAUUAUAACAGCUAUAAUUUACUUGAUCUUGACACAAUCCUACUUGGAUAACUGUGGUAAUUCUAGAGCUAAUACAUGCAUUAAAGCUCUGACCUCACGGGAAGAGUGCAUUUAUUAGAACAAAACCAAGCGGCUUCGGCUGUUUCUGGUUGACUCAUAGUAACUGAGCUGAUCGCAUGGUCUUGCACCGGCGACGUGUCUUUCAAGUAUCUGCCGUAUCAACUUUCGAUGGUAGUGUAUCUGACUACCAUGGUGAUCACGCGUAACGGAGAAUAAGGGUUCGGCUCCGGAGAGUUCGCCUGAGAAAUCGCGAACACAUCUAAGGAAGGCAGCAGGCGCGAAAAUUACCCACUCUCAGCACGAGGAGGUAGUGACGAAAAAUAACGAGACCGUUCUCUUAUGAGGCCGGUCAUCGGAAUGGGUACAAUUUAAACCCUUUAACGAGUAUCUAUGAGAGGGCAAGUCUGGUGCCAGCAGCCGCGGUAAUUCCAGCUCUCAAAGUGCAUAGAAUUAUUGCUGCGGUUAAAAAGCUCGUAGUUGGAUCUGUGCCAUAGGACGUGGUCCACCUUCGGGUGCGUACUACGCUCCUAGGCUUUUUGCUGGUUUUCCCGUCGUAGCCUUCACUGGUUGCGGCGGGUGGCUGGCGAGUUUACUUUGAGAAAAUCAGAGUGCUCAAUACAGGCGUAUCGCUUGAAUGAUUGUGCAUGGAAUAAUAGAAAAGGAUUUCGGUCCUCUUUUAUUGGUUUUGUGGACUGAGAUAAUGGUUAACAGGGACAAACGGGGGCAUUCGUAUCUCUGCGUGAGAGGUGAAAUUCUUGGACCGUAGAGAGACGCCCUACUGCGAAAGCAUUUGCC
rnacentral:rRNA from 1 species